UCCCCUGUAGCUCAAUGGUAGAGCGCCCGGCUGUUAACCGGUAGGUUGGAGGUUCGAGUCCUCCCGGGGGAGCCA
rnacentral:tRNA from 1 species